GGCUGCGGCGGUAUUCCCUAAAGGCGCUGCGCGCGCAGAGCGCCGCGUUGGCUGCCGGGAAGCGAUGAUGGCGGCGGGGCCUGCAUUGUGCUGUUCCUGUCCUUGAGCCCAGGCCCUGAGGUGAGCCUGAGAAAUGGCCCAGAGGUGAGCCCAGAGCCAUCCCUGAGGUGAGCCUAAAUGCAAGGCAGAGAUGUUGCUGAGGAAGGAGAGCCCAGUGGUGGAGAAGAGACAGAAGCUGUGAUUGCCCAUCCCCGAGCAGGUGCUGUCUCCAUCCCCUGUGUGCCAGGUUUCUAUGGACACAGGAUGCCCGGUGAGUUCUAGAGAUGGACUUGGGCAGGAGGAAUCCCCAAGCCAACGUGCUCAGCACUUGAUUUCCCCCCCAUCAGGAUUUGUCCUUCCCAAAGCUUGGGCGGAUGGAGGAGGAGGCUGCGAGGAAGAGGAAGAUGCCUUGGGCCCCCCAGGCAGGUG